AUGAGGAGGAUAAAACAAUGGAGAGCAACAGGAUGGAUAAGGAUCCCUGAGCUUUUAUCCUGCCUGGCUCCGAAGAGGCCUUGCAGAGGAGGCUGCUCUGAAAUCCCUGCUCUACACCUUCCUUGCUCAGCCAACGCUCGCUCCCCCCUGCUGGCAUCGAUGUCGCAGCGGUGCUGGAGGCACAGCAUUGCUGUCGAAGCCCGAAAACGUAAAAUCACACAUCUCCCCUAUGUAAAAGUGCAACCUCAGUUCUGAAAGGAUGAACUUGCCCCAGGUUAAAUUAGUGAGAUCGGUUGGGCAGUCAGUUUCGUUCUCAAUUAUAGCCGAGUGCCGUCAUAACGAAACAUGUAUUUUUCAGAAGGCAAGAAUCCAAGUUGGCCUGUGAACGACUGGCAGUGUUGGACAGGUAUCCUGUAAGAAUCUGGAUUCAGAUGGCUUGCUGUUUUGCUGGGGGACCUAAAAAGCUUGAGAGUUUGUAGAAGAGUUUGCUCAGUAACUUCAGACUUUUUGCAUUGGCCUCAGAUGUUGUUUGCCGCGUGCAGACAGGAGCAAUCUGGAGAAAUGGGUACGAAUGGGGGAGGCAUGGAGAGAACAAAGAGGUAUCCACUGCUUGUGAGCUUUUUUCUGUCUUAAGUCGACAUGUAUCUCUGCCUGAACAGCCACAGGGGCAGUAAGCAUUUGUUGUGAUCCAAAGGCUUUUGAAGUCAGACGGGUGCCAGCUGGUAGACCCUCUUUUCUACCUCAUGCCUCUAGAAGACUGCAUCAACUCUCAAAAAAUUCAAGUCGGUAAUCUUCUAGUUUCACAAUAUCAAAUGCCCUUGGAAGAAGUAAGAGUCUGGCUGUGGGGCGAGGGACGCUGCUCUGCAUAACGUAGGAACCUACGUGGUUGUCGUGCUUGCGCGGCUUUUUUUUUUUAAUUGUUAUUUUUUAAUUUUGCUUCUGCUGUGAAGAUACUUCAAGUGAAGAUGUUACUUUCUGUGGAUGUCACGUUAGCAAACACGUGCCCUUUGGAUUUCACAGGUUUAGCUAGCAUCGUUCCCUGAAGUGGUGCAGGUAGGAGAGUGUCCCCACUCUCCUGCCUGGAGACAUAAAGGGUGGGAAAGCCCCAGUCCUCUGCUUUCCGCUUGCUGCCUGUGAUGGUCAUUCUUGGAUUUUACAAUGCAGUGGACAUACCAGCUGUGUAUCUCCGUGGAAAAGCUCCAAAUCUUGGAAAAUCAUCACUGUCACUCAGAUCGUCCUGGGUUCUUCUUUGAUG
rnacentral:lncRNA from 1 species